rnacentral:rRNA from 1 species
UACGUAGGGGGCAAGCGUUGUCCGGAAUCAUUGGGCGUAAAGAGCGUGUAGGCGGCCAGCUAAGUCCGCUGUGAAAUCUCGAGGCUCAACUUCGAGCUGUCGGUGGAAACUGUCUGGCUAGAGUCCGGAAGAGGAGAAUGGAAUUCCUGGUGUAGCGGUGAAAUGCGCAGAUAUCAGGAAGAACACCCGUGGCGAAGGCGGUUCUCUGGGACGGUACUGACGCUGAGACGCGAAAACGUGGGGAGCGAACAGG